ensembl:lncRNA
GUUGUCCAUAUCGACAUGUAAAUCAUACAAAUUACGUACAAUGUCGCUGGACCGCAGGUCUAAAAGAACCGACGAUCCGGUUCAAAUAAACCGGUUCAUCAGUUCUCGGACAAAGUGAUUCCCGGAAAGGAAUCGACGUCUCAGGGCCUCGAUACAUUUCAAAGUGCGCGCACGCACAGCGAGUGCCGUAGGCUGCGUUAGUGAGAAGAGCACAUGGAUACAUUUGUGAGAAAAAAACUCGUCGAAUGCAGUCUUAUCGAGACGUGUAACGGUUGGAACAAACGUGGAAUCCCUUAACCCAGCAGUCCACAAAACCCCAUCCAUUUGUCAUGGCAAUUUGAAAAUGCCAGCAGAUCAAUCAGACAUUGAUCAUAAUCAAUGGACAGGUCACCGUAGCCACCCGGAUCCAGUCUGUAUCCAGAUCAGAUGGUGGAUCAGCACCUAGAGUUGACCUCUACAGCCCUGAAAGACA